rnacentral:rRNA from 1 species
GAUGAACGCUGGCGGCGUGCCUAACACAUGCAAGUCGAACGGAGAUUACGGACGGAAGUUUUCGGAUGGAAGCCUGUAAUUCUUAGUGGCGGACGGGUGAGUAACGCGUGGGCAACCUGCCCUAUACAGGGGGAUAGCAGCUGGAAACGGCUGGUAAGACCGCAUAAGUCGGUUAAAUCGCAUGAUUUGAUCGGGAAAUGAGCAAUCAGGUAUAGGAUGGGCCCGCGUCCGAUUAGCCAGUUGGCAGGGUAAAAGCCUACCAAAGCGACGAUCGGUAGCCGGACUGAGAGGUCGGACGGACACAUUGGGACUGAGACACGGCCCAAACUCCUACGGGAGGCAGCAGUGGGGGAUAUUGCACAAUGGAGGAAACUCUGAUGCAGCGACGCCGCGUGAGUGAAGAAGUAUUUCGGUAUGUAAAGCUCUAUAAGCAGGGAAGAUGAUGACGGUACCUGACGAAGAAGCCCCGGCUAACUACGUG